UUCUCAGGAUGACUGCGUGCUGCAGCUGUGCUUUUCAUCUCUUGCGUGCGUACAAAACUGGAAUGCUGGAGGACUUCAGCUCAAGAAUGUCAUGCUGGACCACUACCAGAGCGUGCUUAAAGGAAUCAAUGCCUUGAUGAAGGUAUCACCGAAGUGCCCACCACCAGCUCUCUGCCUCAGAGCCAGUGAUGAUGGUCAAGAUUUUUCUAGCGGAUCUUGUCAUGUCAUGCUGAAAACUAAUCUACCCCGCACUUCGGUUACAACACUAUGA